GGUGUGUAGCUCAGCUGGUAGAGCAGCGAUCUCCAAAGUCGCCGGUCGGGGGUUCGAAUCCCUCCGC
rnacentral:tRNA from 1 species